rnacentral:rRNA from 1 species
AUACGUAGGGAGCGAGCGUUGUCCGGAAUUACUGGGCGUAAAGGGCGCGUAGGCGGCGCUUCAAGUCGUCUGUCAAAUGGGAGGGCUUAACCCUUUUUCGCAGACGAAACUGGAGAGCUUGAGAAGCAGAGAGGCAAACAGAAUUCCUGGUGUAGCGGUGAAAUGCGUAGAUAUCAGGAAGAAUACCAGUGGCGAAGGCGGUUUGCUGGCUGCAUACUGGCGCUGAAGCGCGAAAGCCAGGGGAGCAAACGGGAUUAGAUACCCCGGUAGUCCUGGCAGUAAACGAUGUAUGCUGGGUGUGAGACUAGCGAUAGUUUCGUGCCGAAGUUAACGCGAUAAGCAUACCGCCUGGGGAGUACGGUCGCAAGAUUGAAACUUAAAGGAAUUGACGGGG